rnacentral:rRNA from 1 species
GCCAGUGGCGAUAGUAUGUUGAACACAACAGUUCCCAUUGGAUCACUAAAGUAAAACCACGUUGAGCUUUGUUGGUAUCCGGAUGAGUGACCAUAGAGGUAAUCACAUAGGUAGGUACUGCUGACC